rnacentral:rRNA from 1 species
UACGUAGGGGGCAAGCGUUGUCCGGAUUUAUUGGGCGUAAAGAGCGUGUAGGCGGUUUGGUAGGUCCGCUGUGAAACUCGAGGCUCAACCUCGAGACGCCGAUGGAAACCAUGUGGCUAGAGUCCGGAAGAGGAGAGUGGAAUUCCUGGUGUAGCGGUGAAUGCGCAGAUAUCAGGAGGAACACCGAUGGCGAAGGCAGGUCUCUGGGCCACUACUGACGCUGAGAAGCGAAAGCAUGGGAGCGAACAGG